CAAAAGAAACAAAAGUUAAACUGUUAGCAAGGUCCCUGCUGUUCUUGAAAUUGUGCCAAAGGUUUUCUCUACAACUGUGAUUUACCUCAUUCUUCUUUUUCUUAAACAGUCCGAGGGUUUUGUGGAUUCUAAGUGGCUAGUGAGAACAUGCAUGAAAUGCAAAUUAUUUCACAGAUGGGAAAUAUUAAAAGUGGAACACUGUGCUCAAUGUAUACAAAGAGCUCAAAUCCAGCACUAGAGGUUGGACGUAAGCAACAGGCAAUUGACUGUGGUUGUUAAUCAUAAUCCAGAAGCAAACCAAAUGAAAAGGAAGUUUAGACAGUACAGUGUGGAGUAUCUGAAAUGGAUUUAUACCAG